rnacentral:rRNA from 1 species
CAAAUUAUCCUCAUAAGUUAGACGAUAAGAGGAACCAUGUUGAAAAUUAUCUAAAAAAUAAUAAGUAAAAUGGUGUCACAAAAUCGGAGGCCCCGACUGUUUACUAAAAACACAAUUCAGAGCAAUAAUUAAUAUAAUAGUAUUCUGAAUGAUAUUUGCCCGAUGCCAUUAAUAUAAGAAAGGUAAUGGGAAACUGUUGCUGAUCGAAAGUCUGGUUAAUAGCGGUCUUAACGUGAGGAUCCAAAGGUAGCAUAAUAAUUUGGCCAUUAAAUGUGGUCCGGUAUCAAUAGUGUAACGAUGGUCUCACUGUCUCUACAACUUGCUCAGUGAAAUUGAAUUACCCGUGCAGAUGCGGGUUGCCUCCAGGUGGACGGGAAGACCCUAUGCAGCU